CCUCGUUCCUAGGAACCGAAUAUUCGGCCCAGAUGCGGAACCCCUCCAAAACGAGCGGACGACACGGAACCGGCUCUCUUCUCGCACGCCCAGCCCUAUCGCCUCUCCUCGCUGCGCCGCCUCCCCCUCGUCUCUCUCUCUCUCCCUCGAUCUGCGCCGCCCCGCCCCGCCCCGCCCCGCCUUCCCCCGAUUCUUUCCCUCGCAGCGGCUGACUCCUCCCCUCUUGAUCUGCAGCACAUGAGGGAAGCAGGCCGUCCUUUCUCUCGAUCUGGAGCUGCGUGGCGGUAGUUUUGUCAGAGGGGUUGCAGCGGGGCGGCGGUGUAGGCGUGAUUCCGGCGAGCUAACAACGGCGGUAGAGGCUCCUCUCCUCAAGGUGCGACAUCUCUUCCUUACCCCUUGUAUGUGCUCUGUGCUCUUCAAACUAGUGCAGCCGCUGUUACACUUUGCAGUCAUGAAGAUUGCCCAGCCGAGAUAUAUGUUGAUGUGUUAAAUCCCUAGUACAAGUUAUUGGUAGCCAUAUUCUUGACAGUGUUUACUCCUCUCUACGUCUUCAGAUUUUGUUGCUGCAACCUCUACAAUCUACCUCAUACAUUGGUCAAGCGUGCUGCUGCUGCUCCAAGGCAGGAUGCCACACUGAAGCCAAAUGCACAAAUUAUCCCAAAGAAGGCAGCAUACAUUUGUUCAGAUCAAAUCAGCUCAGAGUUAGCCAAUACCGAAUCAGUGUUUUUCUUUACCUUUGGCGUCAUGUACACAGAAAAGAAAACGCCUACGAAGAUCCUGAUUGCCGCUGUGAAGUAUUAUGGUGUAUGUUUGUAUAUUCACACGGAAAAUGAACUUGCUAUAUUAUGAUAUUGUUGUCGAAAAUUGUGUUCUGUGUAAUAUCAUAUAUGUAUCAUGCUUGUCAAUAUAUAGUGUUAUGUUUUUUCUAAGUACAAAAGAAAUGCUGCC
rnacentral:lncRNA from 1 species